UACGAAGGGGGCUAGCGUUGCUCGGAAUCACUGGGCGUAAAGGGUGCGUAGGCGGGUCUUUAAGUCAGGGGUGAAAUCCUGGAGCUCAACUCCAGAACUGCCUUUGAUACUGAAGAUCUUGAGUUCGGGAGAGGUGAGUGGAACUGCGAGUGUAGAGGUGAAAAUUCGUAGAUAUUCGCAAGAACACCAGUGGCGAAGGCGGCUCACUGGCCCGAUACUGACGCUGAUGCACGAAAAGCGUGGGGGAGCAAAACAGG
rnacentral:rRNA from 1 species